rnacentral:rRNA from 1 species
GAUGAACGCUGGCGGCGUGCCUAACACAUGCAAGUCGAGCGAACGGACGAGAAGCUUGCUUCUUUGAUGUUAGCGGCGGACGGGUGAGUAACACGUGGAUAACCUACCUAUAAGACUUGGAUAACUUCGGGAAACCGGAGCUAAUACCGGAUGUUCUUUUCAACCGCAAGGUUCAAUAGUGAAAGACGGUUUUGCCGUCACUUAUAGAUGGAUCCGCGCUGCAUUAGCUAGUUGGUAAGGUAACGGCAUACCAAGGCAACGAUGCGUAGCCGACCUGAGAGGGUGAGCGGCCACACUGGAACUGAGACACGGUACAGACUCCUACGGGAGGCAGGAGUGGGGAGUCGUCCACAAUGGGCGGAGGCCUGGCGGAGCAACGCCGCGUGAGUGAUGAGGGGCUUCGGAUCGUAGAGCUCUGUUAUUAGGGAAGAACAUAUGUGUAAGUAACUGUGCACAUCUUGACGGUACCUAAUCAGAAAGCCACGGCUAACUACGUG